GCUUCAUUUGGCCAUCACUACCUAUCAGCGUCCGCGGACCACGGCUUAAAUGAACCGAUGUUGUAAUUGGUUCUGAAAGCGGAACUGCGCUUGACGCGUAAUGUGACGAGCAUUGUAAACAAAACUAUGGUAAAUGUUUCCUUAGCCUAGAGAAGAAGGAAUGCUGUCUCAGGAGUCUUUUCCUUGAGUAAGAGCUCCAGGAUGUUGUGUGAAAUCCUGCUCACAUCGCUAUGGCUCCUGUUUGUUAUCUUCUGGCUGGAGUUGAUAAGCCUGUGGUUGUUCCUGUCCAUGUUCUUCCAAGACCGUGCAUUUUACCACUGGGGGGAUGGGAUGUUUGCAGAUGAUCCUGGACAGAUGAUCUACAUGUUAAGCCGCGCUGAUGCCCAGACAGAGACGCAAACCUGAGAUGGAGAAAAGAAAAGAAAACAAGAAGUCCACUAAAGACUCUGAAUGGAGAGCUGUUGAAGUAAUGUGACUGAAGAAUAUAAAAAAAAGGCAGGAGCCUUUUUUUUUUCUUUUUUUUUUUUUUUUGUCCUGCCUGGCGCACCCUUGUGCACAGUCCACUUUCAAUAACAGAUGGUAGAGAGGUACAGCAUGAGUGAAGGGCCAAGCUGAGAUGCAGAGGGGUGUGUGCAACAUUUAUGAUUUUUACUCUCAAAUUUUGGUGAAACAGAAUGAAUGUAAAGGAACUGUUGAUUCAGAAGAGA